CCGGAGAAUGUUAUCACGGGAGACACACGGCGGGUGCUAACGUCCGUCGUGAAGAGGGAAACAACCCAGACCGCCAGCUAAGGUCCCAAAGUCAUGGUUAAGUGGGAAACGAUGUGGGAAGGCCCAGACAGCCAGGAUGUUGGCUUAGAAGCAGCCAUCAUUUAAAGAAAGCGUAAUAGCUCACUGGUCGAGUCGGCCUGCGCGGAAGAUGUAACGGGGCUAAACCAUGCACCGAAGCUGCGGCAGCGAACGUAUCACUUAAAGCGAUUCAGCGGGUUACGACUGACGGAGCGAAGCGACGUCAAAGCGUAUACAAAGUCGAGUCGGUUUAAGGAUACGUUCGUUGGGUAGGGGAGCGUUCUGUAAGCCUGCGAAGGUGGCCUGUGAGGGUUGCUGGAGGUAUCAGAAGUGCGAAUGCUGACAUAAGUAACGAUAAAGCGGGUGAAAAGCCCGCUCGCCGGAAGACCAAGGGUUCCUGUCCAACGUUAAUCGGGGCAGGGUGAGUCGACCCCUAAGGCGAGGCCGAAAGGCGUAGUCGAUGGGAAACGGGUUAAUAUUCCCGUACUUGGUGUUACUGCGAAGGGGGGACGG
rnacentral:rRNA from 1 species